rnacentral:misc_RNA from 1 species
CUUUCCCUUUUCUCUAUCUGCCUGCUGUUCUGUCUCUGCUCUGCUCUGCUCUGCUCACGUUGAAAUCAUUAUUAUUAGAUCUAAAUGAAAAGACCCCUUUAUACAUACAUACAUACAUAUAUAUAUAUGUAAUUUUUAAAGAUUCAUUAUCGCGGCAGAGGAAAGAGAGAACGAAAAAAAAAAAAAAGGCAAGGCAAGGCAAGCAGUUGGGUUACUAUUUUCUGCUUGUUGGCAUUUAGCAUUCCGACGGCACCUGACGUCAGAUGUAAAUAAGGAAUAGUAAGUUCAGUGAAAAAAUGGCUCCCCACCAUUCUGCAGCUGGUACUGCUUGUCAUUUACUCCAGGCCGCACCAAAAAGUCGGCUGGAAAUUAGAUAAUAUUCUUGACCGCUAGUAUUUAUAAUACAAGGCUGAUGCGAAAGAGAGAUACAUAUAGGUAUAUAAAAAAAAAAAUACAACUCGAAAACAAAACAAAAAAAUCGAAAACUACCAAACUGAAAACUGUUGAUAUUAAAUAAUAAAAAAGAAAAAUGAAGAAUCUGUAUUCUAUAGUUGGGGUGGAUGAAAACGCAACAUCUGAAGAAAUUAAAAAGUCAUAUAAAAAACUGGCCAAGAAAUUACAUCCAGAUAAAAACAAAAGCGAAGAUGCCGAAGAAAAGUUUAAAGAACUUUCCAAAGCUUACGAAGUUCUAAAGAGUAAAGAGAGCCGGCAAGAUUAUGAUUUCCAGCGAAAGUACUGUCAGAAAGGAGACGAAAGUAAGCGGUUUCAAACGAAAACCACAUACGACCCUCGUUCGAGAACAAGGACUUUUAGGUUCUACGAUUCACCGGAACAGGAUAAGAGUUAUGAAAAUAAAACCAACGACAGCAAUUUCAGCGAUCAGUACCGACGCAAAGAAAGAAAUGGUGGGGCAAAACAGGAUAAGAGUUAUGAAAAUAAAACCAACGACAGCAAUUUCAGCGAUCAGUACCGACGCAAAGAAAGAAAUGGUGGGGCAAAACAGAAGAAGAGUUAUUACUUCAACAAGAGAUCGAAUUCGGAUUCUUCCAGCUCGUCAUCUUCGUUUCGGUCUUCUGCCGAAAGGAGUACUCCUCGUUCUACAAAUCACAUGAACGGACAUAGAGAGAACUAUGAAGAGCCUUUCGAGUAUUACAAUCGCACUUCUGCAACACAAAACGAACGGACACGAACAAGGGAAGCAGACCGAGACAGCUGUUCAAGAGAAGAUGACUCAGGAAGCAACAACGAUACUUUCUCUAAUUCUAAACCAACUUACACCAAUGGAUAUUCCACUGAAUUUCCUAAAUUCUUCGAAACAUUUGAAUCCAUUAUUAAUAAGAACAUGAAGUAUAUGCAUAAACACUUCUUCAAUGCUGAUUCUGCACAGAACAACUUACAUUCUGACUAUUUUCCAUCAUCUUCGAGUAGUUUUGCUGAAGAGCCUCCACCCCAAAGGUCAGAACUGUUUUCAUGUGCAUUUUGCGGGCUGGGUUUUAACCUUGAGGAAAUGAGAAUUCACGAACGGAGAUGUAUGAAAACCAGAUCUCACAGGAAGUCCUCUGAUCCCUUUAGAAAAGCCUUCACAGCUGAACCUUAUACUGAAGAUAGAAAAACUAACCUCUUUUUCAAAUCUUCUUCAAAUGAAUCAGAAUUCAGUACCUGUGCCUGCCCUAAAAAUGCAAGCAUGAAAAAGAUUCACUUGCCCUCCUGUAGUGAAUAUAAGUAUUCGUCGUCACCUUUUAGCCUCCGUCAGAAUGAUGGGUCUAUUUUCCCUUCAAAAUCUGAGUGGACCCCACCUGUAUACACAACUUCAUCAAGUUUUGAAACUGUUGAUGUCCUUGCUAAUACUUACUACCCAGUCAGAAAGUGUCUUUACCCUGGCACAGUACGAUGGCUGUAGUUAAAUCCGAACUUACUACCUUUGUGCUAUUUUAUUCCAGAACCAAUAGUACCAUCAUUAUUAAUACAAAGAAUAAACAAUAUUUUAACCAGAAAUUCCGACUUAUAUAAUAGAAAACUUGAUGAGACCAAUUUCUUGAAAUUACGUUCCCGUUGCACCAGUUGUCAGUU